GAUGAACGCUGGCGGCGUGCCUAAUACAUGCAAGUCGAGCGAACGGACGAGAAGCUUGCUUUUCUGAUGUUAGCGGCGGACGGGUGAGUAACACGUGGAUAACCUACCUAUAAGACUGGGAUAACUUCGGGAAACCGGAGCUAAUACCGGAUAAUAUUUUGAACCGCAUGGUUCAAAAGUGAAAGACGGUCUUGCUGUCACUUAUAGAUGGAUCCGCGCUGCAUUAGCUAGUUGGUAAGGUAACGGCUUACCAAGGCAACUAUGCAUAGCCGACCUGAGAGGGUGAUCGGCCACACUGGAACUGAGACACGGUCCAGACUCCUACGGGAGGCAGCAGUAGGGAAUCUUCCGCAAUGGGCGAAAGCCUGACGGAGCAAUGCCGCGUGAGUGAUGAAGGUCUUCGGAUCGUAAAACUCUGUUAUUAGGGAAGAACACAUGUGUAAGUAACUGUGCACAUCUUGACGGUACCUAAUCAGAAAGCCACGGCUAACUACGUG
rnacentral:rRNA from 1 species